AUUGAACGCUGGCGGCAUGCCUUACACAUGCAAGUCGAACGGUAACGGGCCGCAAGGUGCUGACGAGUGGCGAACGGGUGAGUAAUGUAUCGGAACGUGCCCAGUCGUGGGGAGUAACUGCUCGAAAGAGCAGCUAAUACCGCAUACGACCUGAGGGUGAAGCGGGGAGUCGCAAGACCUCGCGCGAUUGGAGCGGCCGAUAUCAGAUUAGGUAGUUGGUGGGGUAAAGGCCCACCAAGCCAACGAUCUGUAGCUGGUCUGAGAGGACGACCAGCCACACUGGGACUGAGACACGGCCCAGACUCCUACGGGAGGCAGCAGUGGGGAAUUUUGGACAAUGGACGCAAGUCUGAUCCAGCCAUGCCGCGUGCGGGAAGAAGG
rnacentral:rRNA from 1 species